rnacentral:rRNA from 1 species
UACGUAGGGUGCGAGCGUUAAUCGGAAUUACUGGGCGUAAAGCGUGCGCAGGCGGUUUUGUAAGCCAGAUGUGAAAUCCCCGGGCUCAACCUGGGAAUGGCAUUUGGGACUGCAAGGCUGGAGUGCGGCAGAGGAGACUGGAAUUCCUGGUGUAGCAGUGAAAUGCGCAGAUAUCAGGAGGAACACCGAUGGCGAAGGCAGGUCUCUGGGCCACUACUGACGCUGAGAAGCGAAAGCAUGGGGAGCGAACAGG